GACGAACCGUGCGAACGUUGUUCGGAUUCACUGGGCUUAAAGGGCGCGUAGGCGGGUGAUCGAGUCAGGGGUGAAAUCUUUCGGCCCAACCGGAAGCGUGCCUCUGAUACUGGUCAUCUCGAGGGGGGUAGGGGCAUGUGGAACUUCCGGUGGAGCGGUGAAAUGCGUAGAUAUCGGAAGGAACGCCGGUGGCGAAAGCGACGUGCUGGACCCCUUCUGACGCUGAGGCGCGAAAGCCAGGGGAGCGAACGGG
rnacentral:rRNA from 1 species